rnacentral:tRNA from 1 species
GCAUAGGUGGUAUAGUAAUGAGCACAACUGCCCUCUAAGCAGUUGACCUGGGUUCAAUUUCUGGCUAGUGCU